rnacentral:rRNA from 1 species
AGUCAUAUGCUUGUCUCAAAGAUUAAGCCAUGCAUGUCUCGGCAUAAACCUACGUAUGGUGAAGCUGCGAAUGGCUCAUUAGAACAGUUGUGGUUUAUCUGGUACUUGAAAGAUAGAUGGAUAACUGUGGUAAUUCUAGGGCUAAUACAUGCGUAAAAACCGGACUUCGAGGAACGGUUGUACUUAUUAGACAAAGAACUAAUCCGUUUCGGCGGCAUUUAGAUGAAUCAUAAUAAAAGCAUGGAGCGUAUGACUUGUGUCGGCGCUACACCAUUCAAGUUUCUGACCUAUCAGCUUUCGACGGCAGGGUAUUGGCUUACCGUGGCAUUGACGGGUAACGGGGAAUAGGGUUCGAUUCCGGAGAGGAAGCCCGAGAAACGGCUACCACAUCUAAGGAAGGCAGCAGGCGCGUAAAUUGCCCGAAUCCUGACACAGGGAGGUAGUGACAAGAAAUAACAAUACAGGGCUACAUCUAGUCUUGUAAUUGGAAUGAGUACAAUUUACAUCUCUUCACGAGGAUCAAU